GCAGCCAUCAUUUAAAGAAAGCGUAAUAGCUCACUGAUCGAGUCGUCCUGCGCGGAAGAUGUACCGGGGCUAAGCCAAUAACCGAAGCUGCGGAUGUGCCGCGAGGCACGUGGUAGGAGAGCGUUCUGUAAGCCUGUGAAGGUGUCUUGUGAAGGAUGCUGGAGGUAUCAGAAGUGCGAAUGCUGACAUGAGUAGCGAUAAAGAGUGUGAGAAACACUCUCGCCGUAAGCCCAAGGGUUCCUGCGCAAGGCUAAUCCGCGCAGGGUGAGUCGGCCCCUAAGACGAGGGCGAAAGCCGUAGUCGAUGGGAAUCAGGUUAAUAUUCCUGAGCCAGGAGGAUGUGACGGAUCUCGACUGUAGUUUGCCCUUAUUGGAUUGGGUGAGCUGCUUAGAGGUUCCUGGAAAUAGCCCUCCAUGAGACCGUACCCUAAACCGACACAGGUGGACUGGUAGAGCAUACCAAGGCGCUUGAGAGAACUAUGUUGAAGGAACUCGGCAAAAUACCUCCGUAAGUUCGCGAGAAGGAGGCCCAGUUUCUACGCAAGUAUUGGCUGGGGGCACAAACCAGGGGGUGGCGACUGUUUACUAAAAACACAGGGCUCUGCGAAGUCGCAAGACGACGUAUAGGGUCUGACGCCUGCCCGGUGCCUGAAGGUUAAAAGGAGGGGUGAGAGCUCUGAAUUGAAGCCCAGGUAAACGGCGGCCGUAACUAUAACGGUCCUAAGGU
rnacentral:rRNA from 1 species